rnacentral:lncRNA from 12 species
GGAAAUGCAAUUCCCGACAGCUUAUAGUGAAUCAGGGUCCAAGAAACACAAUUUGGUUUUUGAUGUGCUUGCUCAUGUAUGAAAUGUAGUUUAGUUUUCAACAACAAUGGCAAACGUACAGUGUAACAUUUUUUUUUCUUCCAAAAAGCAUUUAACUCUUUUGUUCAUAUGUGUUUGUUUGUUUAUAUUUGUAAUGUGUAUCAUAGUAAAGUGUAUACUGACAGUUCUUAAGCACUUGAGCAGCUAACUGAACUUAAACUUAAUUUCAGAGGCGCAACUUUGUUCAUUAGUCUGCCCUGACUAAUUUAAAGCCACACACACACACACACACACACACACACACACACACACACACACACACAGUUCGCACUGUAGUUUACAUAGUUUAGUUUACUGCAGUUCAGCAGCGAAAAGGGGCUGGCUGGAUUCUCUGAGACACUUCAGAGGGAAACCAUUUAACCUGAGAGGCGCGCGACCGUCAGCUUGUCUCGCGCAGUACACUUUCAGUAUUACACGCUCUCUUCUAGUGUGCGUCACAUCGUUGCGUCUCCUUUCACCCGCAGAUGAAAUAAAGGUCUACCCGAGUCUCAAAAGAGGAUUCAAGAACAAGGAUAAUAUUUUAACCAUAAUGCCAAAAAUGGUUUCAACUGGGGAUUCAAAAGACGUGUCAAAGUCAUCACAGAGCAAUGGACAUCACACAUCACAAAUAUUUCAUUGUUUAACAACCCUCGUAUGUUUCAUGUUGUCGGCGUCUUCGGUGGCAGUUUGUCUGUUUAUGAACGUUAAAACAUCUCAACUUGAGCGUAAAAUUGAGCUUCUGGAGAUGGAGCGACUGUCUGUGAUUGAACCUGUGCACGCGACACUGGAUGCGAACGCGACUCUUCGGGAUGCGAUAGAGAAACUUGUGCAAGAGAGACUCAAAGAGGGAGUGUCGAAAAUUCGCACAGCUCGAGAAGCAGCGCAAGAGUGCUCCUGUCCUCCAGGUCCUCCAGGAAAACGGGGAAGAAAAGGCAACCCUGGUGAGUACCUGGCACUCCAGGACGAGAUGGCUACCCGGGUCCAAUGGGUAUGGAUGGUAAACCUGUAA